UCUGCUCUGAGCUGCUGAGAUGUUUGUUAGACGAGCGUCUGAAGAAGAUGAAGGACUUCAUUCAUAGAAACGCAGCUUCAUCACAGCAGAUGUUGUGGAGAAAAAGAGGUUCAGGGAGAAGCUGCAGUAAGGACCUUCAACCCUGUCUGAACUGUUUUACUGUGUUUUCUACAAGGGUUUUCAUCCAAUCUGCUGAACCUGAAGGAGAACCUGCUUCCAGCUGCACAAAGUUCUGAUUCCCUCUGAGUCUAGAGAUGGUUUUAUCUGCUGAGCUUCACUGUUAACAAACACUUGAUGCAGCUGGACUUCUUCUGUCUCCUGGAUGAUGUUUCUCCUUUGGUUCCUGUGUUUCACAGUUACUGAGAGGAGGACCACGCCUCGGUUUAACGUUCCUCUCAUGUUCCUGUGAUGUGACCUGCUGGUUCUUCUACAGCAGCAGAGGUCCAACUCUUCUCCAUCAGCAUGGAGGAGACAAAUAAUCCUGACCCGUUUCAUUCCUGUCUGUCUCUGAACAGACGGAGGAGAAAAGCUGCGUCUUUAACGAAUGUUCUGGAUCAGAGCGGUUCUGGUUCUCCUGCUUCACUGAACGUUUCUGAUCCACAAUAAAACACCUGCUAGAAACAGUGAGAGUGUUACAUGAACACACCGAACCGGGCUUUAACCGGAUCAGACCGUCUCAGCUACAGUUUCCACACCUCUGAACUAAAACGGAACCAGAACAUAUUCGGACCUUUUUUCCCACCAAUGAGGCGUUUCAGUUUGGUUAAAGAUCAGCAUGGAAACACAUGAGGGUCCGCAGUGUCUCCAGGUUGGAGCUGCUGCAGCAGGAAGUGGGCCAGCAGGUUAGUUGGUGCUGCUCACAUUAAAUGUCAGGAAGCUGGAGAACAGCAGAACAUUUUCCUGAAGGUCGUCUGAUGUCUGGAAGUUCUGACAUGAAGGUUUUCUACUGACUGUCAGUGAUGGAGACACAGAGUGGAAAUCAUCUAAAAUAUCAAGUUUUUCCUCAGAUUUUAGGUUUUCUUCUUCAUUUGGAGCCAUUCAUGGAUUAAUCUGCUCCUUGUUUUAUUCUUUGACCCAAAUAUUUAAACUAUUCAGGACAUGUUUUAUUUAUUAGAGGAAGAUUAUAUUUCUAUUUGAUGUCAUAUUAGCCAUAAAUACAUUUUUAUGAUCACUAAAUUAUUUCCAACUAAUUUAGCAUCAAACAGAUAAUUGAUGUUCCUGACGGCACCGACAGCCAUCAGUCAUUUUAACCUGAUUUCAUCUAAUCUGUAGUUUUACUUUUUAUUUAUUUACCAAACAAACUGAGUUCAGUCCAGUAAGGUUCUGCUGGUGGUUUGGUUCAGUCCAAAUGGGCCCAUUUUAGUGAUGUUCUGUCUGUUAACUUGAUUUAAACUAAUUUCCACUGAGAACAAACAGCUAAUCGGGCAGCAUCUCCAUCCUGCUCGGUGCGGCUCAGCUCGGUCCAGAAUCUGGUUCUGAUGGAGCGGUUUCCUGUGGCCCGGGAAGUUUAGUUAAAGUUCUGGUGGAUAAAGUGUUCCUAAUAUCUGCUGGUUAGUGUGAGAUGAACAGAACCACUGUGGCAGAGAUCUACAGUGGUUCUGAUCUCAGAACCUCUUUAGGUGUGGGAGGUUUUUCCUUUGGUUCUGUUCUUCAGUCUCUAACAGCAGAACCGGGUCAUCGUCUGGUUCUGCUGGUUCUCAUCCAAACAGCCACGUUCUCGUCUCCUUGGUGUUGGUCAGUGAACAGACUGCUGGGAAAUCUUCUCCAUCAUCACAUCCCUGAUCGUGACCUUUGACCUCUCCAGUCUCAUCGUUGCUCUCACAGCCAAACAUGCUGUGGAAGAUGUGAGCAGCUGAGAACGUCUGCAGGAACAUCUCAGCACAGACUUGAUAAGACUGAAGGUCACAUGUUCCUCACAGCCAAUCAGAGGAUGGAAAUGUGUUUCUAUGGCAACAUGUGGAGACUUUAGAGACAGCCGUCAAGAGUCAGAUCCUAACAGUCCAUCUCCUCUCUCCACCACAGAGCUUCUCUGCCUCCACUAACACUCAGCUUAUUGACCCUGAUGAAGAUGAUGGAGGUCCAUGUGAGCUGCAGGAGCAGAACCACCCUGAUGAAGACUCCUGACCAGCACACUCAGACCAGACCUGAUCCUUCCUUUAACAUCACAACAACUGAAACUACACAGAAACAUCAUCAGUUCAGGAACUUCCUCUUCCUGUGAGGUUCUACAGACUUUAACCUCCAGAAGGUUUUCUAGAAGCUUCCACUGAAGGAGAGUUUAGGUCCAGGGUUUGAUCACUGCAGGAACAUCAGCACAGAAACAGGUUUUAUUUCACUUUAAUGUUCCAGCUGAGAUGAAUCUCCUCUCUGGUUCUUUCUGAAGGAUCAUCAUUGCUGCUCCUCUCCUCUGAUGAUCUCACAGCUCUGCUCUCUCUGCAGCUUUAAGGCCAACAGAUCCCAGAAUAACCUUCAAAGUUAAAGAUCCUGCAGCUCUUCUGACAACAGAACCAGAACACAAACUGAAACCAACAUAAACUCCAUCUGGGCUGACUGG